GAUGAACGCUAGCUAUAGGCUUAACACAUGCAAGUCGAGGGACCGGCGCACGGGUGAGUAACGCGAAUCCAACCUGCCCAUAACUAAGGGAUAACCAAGCGAAAGUUGGACUAAUACCUUAUGGUUAUGGAUGGGUAUGCUGCUGAUUAGCUUGUUGGCGGGGGAAUGGUCCACCAAGGCAACGAACAGUAGGGGUUCGGUGAGGAAGGUCCCCCACAUUGGAACUGAGACACUGUCCACACUCCUACUGGAGGCAGCAGUGAGGGAGAUUGGUCAAUGGACGCAAGUCUGAACCAGCCAAGUAGCGUGCAGUAUGACGGCCUGUGGGUUGUAAACUGCUUUUAUAUGGGGAUAGGUACCAUAUGAAUAAGGACCGGCUAAUUCCGUGCCAGCAGCCGCGGUAAUUC
rnacentral:rRNA from 1 species